rnacentral:rRNA from 1 species
CGGCCCAGACUCCUACGGGAGGCAGCAGUAGGGAAUCUUCGGCAAUGGACGCAAGUCUGACCGAGCAACGCCGCGUGAGUGAAGAAGGUUUUCGGAUCGUAAAACUCUGUUGUAAGAGAAGAACGUUGAUGAGAGUGGAAAGUUCAUCAAGUGACGGUAUCUUACCAGAAAGCCACGGCUAACUACGUGCCAGCAGCCGCGGUAA